AUGUACAUUCCUACAACAUAGUGUUAAUGCACCGGAUACAAUUAAAACUCCGCAAUUAAGCGCGCUUAGGCUACAGUAGUACUGGGAUAGGUGACCACCCGAGAAGUCCUAGUGUUUUGCAUG
rfam:Picea glauca, whole genome shotgun sequence.